rnacentral:lncRNA from 1 species
UAUGGCACAAUAGACUGCUUUUUGCAUGCAGAUAAGUAGAGACUGUUGUGUCA